AUGUUUUCGUGGCUCCAGGUAUAUAGCCACAAAAGGCACGACAACAAGCCUCCUGAUUGCUGCUUCUCCUCCUCCUCCUUUUCCCUGAGCGGAGCUGUUUCAUGUGAUGCCUGGAAGCAGGGGCACCUUGGUGUCUUUCUUUUUAGGCCUGUUGCUGGGGUUAUUUGGGGUGCUGAUUCAGAAAAUUGCAUUGGAUAGACCGCAUCAGCUCUAGAUUAUUAAAUAUGGUUUUCUGUUGGCGAGUAGAUAGCACCACUGGAUGACAUAUGUUCUGUAUCAGAAACUAAGGCUGAUGUGGUCUAUCCAAUACAAUUUUCUAAAUCAGCACCCCAAAUAAACAAACUGAAUCUAAAGUUGACCAAAAACCUUUCGGUACUAAUGUUGGAAAGUAGUCCCUGGUCAAGUGGUCCCUGGUCAAAAAAAGGUUGGGAACCACUGUUGUACAUGGUUAAACUAGAUGGCUCUUUAUAUUCCCUCCAGCUGCGUAAUUCUGCUAGUCUUUACUGAUCUACUUCAUUAAAGCUGAAUCAUGCUGCACAUCAUCAAAUUUUCAAUAGAAACAUUUAUUUGGGGGGAAUAUAUAUUUUUGUCUCCUAAAGUGAUCGUUUUUUGCCUUAAGGCAUAAAGCUGGUUGAUUAGUUCUAUCUUGCUAUGCUUAACUGCAUGCGAUUUUAUUGGCAUACCCUGUCUUAAGCAAUUGUAUUUUUCUACUGUACCUUUCCCCCAAAGAGCUCAAAAUGAUGUACAUAGGCUUGCUCCUACUAUGGGUUUCUCUGUGACUACUGGGUUCGACUGAGAAACUGUAACAUUACUAAAGUGGAUGGCAUGGUUUUAAUAAUGAUUAUAAUGUUUUUUGUUUUGUUUUUUUAGUAGGAGCCCCAGUGGCGAAGUGUGUUAAAGCACUGAGCUGCUGAACUUGCAGACCGAAAGGUCCCAGGUUCAAAUCCCAGGAGCAGAGUGAGCACCUGCUGUUAGCUCCAGCUUCUGCCAACCUAGCAGUUCGAAAACAUGCCAAUGUGAGUAGAUCAAUAGGUACCGCCCCGGCGGGAAGGUAACAGCGUUCCAUGCAGCCAUGCCGGCCACAUGACCUUGGAGGUGUCUACAGACAACACCGGCUCUUCGGCUUAGAAAUGGAGAUGAGCACCAACCCCCAGAGUCAGACAUGACUGGACUUAACGUCAGGGGAAACCUUUACCUUUACCUAUAAUGUUUUUAAAUAUUCAAUGUUUAUUAAUUUUAAAUUUAAUUUAAUAUUUAUUUUAAUUGUAUGUUGCUUAAGGCAUUGAAUAGUUGCCUAUGUGUAAAGCCUCUUUGAGUCCCUUUUGGGGUUGAGAAGAGCAGGGUAUAAAUAUGGUAAAUAAAUAACUAAUAAAUAAAGUUGCCCAGCAAUUUCAUCUAGAAAAGGGGAAAGAAAGAGGGUUAUUUUGUUGUUGCUGUUGUUUCAAAUUUGUCCAGUGUUACAUCUAUUGAAAAGAAGGUCCUCUUCAAAAAGAAUGGUAAGACAACUUCAAGACUAUUCCAAGAGAGUUUGGUUUCUGAGACAAAGGACAAAAAGCUGUCACUCCCAUUCUAUGAACACGAACAUUCAAUUUUACUCCAACACUGAUGGGACAGCAUUCUCUCAAUAUACCUGAGGCUAUGCCAGGUUCAAAUCCCGGGAGCGGAAUGAGCGCCCGCUGUUAGCCCCAGCUCCUGCCAACCUAGCAGUUUGAAAACAUGCAAAUGUGAGUAGAUCAAUAGGUACCGCUCUGGCGGGAAGGUAAGGGCACUCCAUG
rnacentral:lncRNA from 1 species